rnacentral:rRNA from 1 species
ACACUGUACGAGUUUGAUCCUGGCUCAGAUUGAACGCUGGCGGCAGGCUUAACACAUGCAAGUCGAACGGAACCUUCGGGUUUAGUGGCGAACGGGUGAGUAACACCUAGGAAUCUGCCUAUUAGUGGGGGAUAACGGCUCGAAAGGGUCGCUAAUACCGCAUACGUCCUACGGGAGAAAGAGGGGGAUCUUCGGACCUCUUGCUAAUAGAUGAGCCUAGGCCGGAUUAGCUAGUUGGUAGGGUAAAGGCCUACCAAGGCGACGAUCCGUAGCUGGUCUGAGAGGAUGAUCAGCCACACUGGAACUGAGACACGGUCCAGACUCCUACGGGAGGCAGCAGGUGGGGAAUAUUGGACAAUGGGGGCAACCCUGAUCCAGCCAUGCCGCGUGUGUGAAGAAGGCCUUCGGGUUGUAAAGCACUUUAAGCGAGGAGGAAGGUCUUUGAACUAAUAUUUCAAAGAAUUGACGUUACUCGCAGAAUAAGCACCGGCUAACUCUGUG